AUGCUCGACUUCGACUCCGAAGACUUUGAUGGUAUGGACGAUGAAGCCGGAGACGAACAGGAACCACCGCCCUCAAGGCGCUGGACCGCCACCUCAUCAUAUGAUAUAUACAUGGUGGACACCCCCAAGGAAGGCAAUGGCGAUGAGACAGCGGAGGAUGACCCCUCCAAGAAGCAGCCCAAGCGCCGACGUCAGCGGCGCCGCUCUAAGUCCCGCCACAGCAAGAGCAGUGAUACUGGCACAGGAGAUAAUAACACUCCGGAUAGCACCGUAGACAAUGAUACGUCUCCAACGUAUCUAUAA
rnacentral:rRNA from 1 species